CUCAGCUCCAGGGCUGAGCCCAGUGGCUACAGCAGGUGGCAUGAGGUCUGGCAGCUUGUCGCUUUGCUGGUCUUUGGCUGUAUCGGUGCAGGGCCCGGAGGACUCUGGAGCUACCUCUAGCUGCAGCACUGCCUCUGGAUGGGGACUUCCCCAUGCUGUGGGCUGUGGCUCCAUAGCGGGCACUGGAAGUUCCUCUCUCUCUGCACGUGCGGCAAGAGCUGAAAAAGGAGAAAGGGUCACUGAGCAGGUUUUCUGUGUCUGAGCCCCAGAGUUCAAUCUCUGCUGACCAGACCCCCACUGACCAGACCCCUGAGCGGUGGUGUUCAGAGUCCCCUACCAAUGGCCCUUCUCAGUCCACAGACCUCUCCCUCCCCUCAUCAGCACCCACAGGUGACUGAGAGUCUUCUCGGGACCGGACCCCAACUCCAGGACACAGGGAGGGGCAGUUUGUCCCAGGCUCCGGGUGCUGAGCUUCACGCUUGUGCCACAAGGUCCUCUGGGCCAUCUCAAAGGGGGCAGUGAUGUGGCCUCACACAUCUGGAUGCACUGUCUGGGCCUAUUCCUGAGCCACAUAGCCAGAGGAACAGGAAGCUGUUUGUCAACCCAGGUACCCCACUCUGCUGGGUCUCCCAGGGUCCUUCCCAUGGAGGCCAGAUCCAGAGACACAGCACAGAGGCAGCAGGGUGACCGGCCCAGAACCCUUGAGACUAGGCUGGGGAUGACAGGAGGACUGUCCCCAGACAACCAGAAGACCCUUUGCUAGUUUCUUGGUACUUCAUUUCUCACCUGCUACCCUUACUCCACCAGAAAUCCCCUUCAUGCAGAGUCAAUGAGGAGAGGAAGAUGGACACAGAAUCUGUGGAAAGAAAGAAAACAAAAGAUGGGUGGGGAGAAGAGUUGGGAGUGUAACGUUGUAAGGGUCCUACACUAUGGGUAUUAUUUGAGGGUUGGCUGUGAUUAAUUAAAGGUGUGCCUUGUAGACAACCAUUACACACACUAUAAAUAAAUUUUAUAUAUAUAUACAUAUAUAUGUAUAUAUAUAUAUAUGGAGAGAGAGAGAGAGAGACAGGGUCUUGCUCCAUCACCCAGGCUGAAGUGCAGUGGCCCAAAACAGCUCACUACAGCCUUGACUUCCCAGGCUCAAGCAAUCCUCCCCACCUCAGCCUCCUGAAUAGCUGGGACUACAUGUGUGGGCCCCCAUGCCUGGCUGCUUUUGAAAUGGUUUCUUGUAGAGACAGGAUCUCGCCGUGUUAUCCAGGCUGGUCUGGACCUCCUGCCCCCAGGCAAUCCUCCAGCCUCGGCCUCUCAGAGUGUUGGGAUUACAGGCAUGAGCCACUGCACUCGGCUUACACAUGUUUUUAAGAGGCAUAAAUACGAAGGUCAGUGUUGUCAUGAGGUCAGGCAGGGGUGGGCAAACUAUGGCCCACAAUCCAGAUGAAGCCCCCCUCCUACUGUGAAUAAAGGUUUAUUGGAGCCACAGUUCCUCCCCUGUGUUCACUUCUUGUCUGGGGCUGCUUUGGGGCUGCAGUGGAAAGCUGAGUAACUGCUGAGUAGGUGCAACAAAGACCACAGGGUCCACGAAGCCCAAGAUGCUUACUACCAGGUCCUUUGCAGAAAAAUCUUGCUGAGCCCUGGGGAGGGGCCAGGUGGCACCAGGGAGGCCAUUGGGGAGGCUGGUACAGUAAUCCAGGUGAAAAAUGAAGGGAGCUCAGAUUAAAGCGGUCAUGACAAAUGGCUGGAAUCAGGAUAUAUUUUGGGGGUAUGACCAAUAUAUGGAUAAAAUGGACAGUAUUUAGAGUUUCAGAUUUUCUUUCUGCCAAAGGAUCCCUUUCUUAAACAAAAAAAUUAUACAAAAGAUCAAUUAAAAAACUGACCAGGCCAGGCGCGGUGGCUCACACCUGUAAUCCCAGCACUUUGGGAGGCCGAGGCGGGCAGAUCAUGAGGUCAGGAGAUCGAGACCAUCCUGGCCAAAAUGGUGAAACCUCAUCUCUACUAAAAAUACAAAAAUUAGCCAGACGUGGUGGUGGGUGCCUGUAGUCCCAGCUACUCAGGAGGC
rnacentral:lncRNA from 10 species